UACGUAGGGUGCGAGCGUUAAUCGGAAUUACUGGGCGUAAAGCGUGCGCAGGCGGUUUUGUAAGCCAGAUGUGAAAUCCCCGGGCUCAACCUGGGAAUGGCAUUUGGGACUGCAAGGCUUGAGUGCGGCAGAGGAGACUGGAAUUCCUGGUGUAGCGGUGAAAUGCGUAGAUAUCUGGAGGAACACCGGUGGCGAAGGCGGCAUCCUGGACCGGCAUUGACGCUGAGGCGCGAAAGCGUGGGGAGCGAACAGG
rnacentral:rRNA from 1 species